rnacentral:lncRNA from 1 species
GUCCAGUGAUAACGUUGAAGUACUUUAAAGAGUCCCUUUCAGCCCCCGCUUUAUCAUAGGAAGAAGAAGAGUAAUCUAGUUUAGGGGUAAGUGCCCUUUUGUUGCCAAUAUCUAGAGUCCUGUUGUGUCGAUAGAGCUCGGAAAACUCCUCUUUUAGUGAUGGAUUCUAGUAGCCCUAUGCCUAGAUUGCACAAGAACUACUCCGCUUCUAUAUUGGAAAACACUGUGUUUGAGCUUCUGAAAAGAAAUGAAGCUGUUACCUGAUCCAAGCAGAUAAGAUGCUCACAGCCUGUCCUGAGCACUACGGAGAUAUUUCUUGAUCCACAUGAGAGUCAGCUCCCUACACCUACACCGGAUUAUGUCAAUGAGAGCUUGCCAAUAGAGAUACUUCUGACUUAGAGGCACCGGAGUUGGCCAACUCAAAUUGCAUUGACAGCGAACCCUUGGUAGAUGAUUCAGAGCAAGAUCAGAUUCUUGAUGAUUUUUCCCUUUGUUUGAUCGAGCGACCUGUUUUCUUAAAGGAAUCUGCCUUCAAACGCGUUCCACAAAAAAACAAGUAGGACCCUAUUGCAAGUGCCUUGCACUUUAACCGAAAAAAAGGAAAGGCACUUUUCCUAUCUUUUUCCCUUAACGCGGAGCAGUCAGGUAAAGAACUGGAAACCAUACUUUUUUAAAAACUGGGAAAAGGCAUAUUAUGACCGUUGAACCAUUUGAUAGCGAAGAGUUGUUACAGAAGUCUCUCGGUUUUCUUGAAACUGGGUUACCAUGAUUUGGUUCUGCGGAACCAAAAAACAGGGACCCAGGAUAAGAGAAAUACCUAAUUUUUUCAUGAUCAGGGCGCCGUGGAACUGAGCAGCCUAUAGUCGAAAGGCCAGAAAAUUCUAUUCCGACUAAGUGCGUCACAGUUUUGGUGCCAUCAAGAUCAAAAAUGCCGAAGGCACAAAUCCCAAGGUGGUAAAUGGGC